UGGAAGAUAUACAGUGGGUUUUUGCU
rnacentral:piRNA from 1 species